UACAGAGGAGCCAAGCAUUGUCCGGAUUUAUUGGGCGUAAAGAGCUCGUAGGCGGCUUGUCGCGUCGACUGUGAAAUCCCGCGGCUCAACUGCGGGUCUGCAGUCGAUACGGGCAGGCUAGAGUUCGGUAGGGGAGACUGGAAUUCCUGGUGUAGCGGUGAAAUGCGCAGAUAUCAGGAGGAACACCGGUGGCGAAGGCGGGUCUCUGGGCCGAUACUGACGCUGAGGAGCGAAAGCGUGGGGAGCGAACAGG
rnacentral:rRNA from 1 species